rnacentral:rRNA from 1 species
AUACGGAGGGUCCAAGCGUUAUCCGGAAUCAUUGGGUUUAAAGGGUCCGUAGGCGGGCAAUUAAGUCAGAGGUGAAAUCCCACAGCUCAACUGUGGAACUGCCUUUGAUACUGGUUGUCUUGAAUUAUAGUGAAGUAGAUAGAAUAUGUAGUGUAGCGGUGAAAUGCUUAGAUAUUACAUAGAAUACCGAUUGCGAAGGCAGUUUACUAACUGUAUAUUGACGCUGAUGGACGAAAGCGUGGGGAGCGAACAGGAUUAGAAACCCUAGUAGUCC